rnacentral:rRNA from 1 species
UACGUAGGGGGCAAGCGUUGUUCGGAAUUACUGGGCGUAAAGGGCGUGUAGGCGGUGCGGUAUGUUGGACGUGAAAUCCCCGGGCUCAACUCGGGGCGGUCGUUCAAAACUGCCGUGCUAGAGUGUGGGAGAGGGAAGUGGAAUUCCCGGUGUAGCGGUGAAGUGCGUAGAUAUCGGGAAGAACACCUGUGGCGAAGGCGGCUUCCUGGCCCGCAACUGACGCUGAGGCGCGAAAGCUAGGGGAGCAAACAGG